CUUGCUCCCCUCCCCCAGACAAGCACGUAUUUGCUUUCUGAAUCUGAAGAAACGGCCCCAGAAUUGGACAUGAUACUGCAGGUGGAGUCUCACAAGAGCAGAGCAGAAGGGCAGAAUCAGCUCCAUGGACCUGCUGGUCUCACUUCUCUUGAUGCAAGAUACUUCUUUUGAUACAAGAGAUAGUUGUUGCUAUCAGGGACAUCAGUAUGACUUUACUGAUGAUGACCUGGAAUAUAUGAUUAAUCAUGUUGACGUCUGCAGCAGGUCUACUGUAAGCCUUUAGAAAUAAUCCAAGAAACAGAGUCAAGACAGAACUAAAAUGUACAAUAGGAGAAACAUCACAAGAAGAUGCAUAGGAAGAAUUGUGAUGUGAUUUGAGCAAGACAAGGAUCUCCCCUGGCCUAUCAACUGCCCCAAGAUGGAGCUGCAUGCAUUCCAUCUGCUCCUCUGCAUGGAGCAUGACUUCUCCUCACCUUUGCAGCCACCCUUUCCUGAAGAGCCUCUUUUUAAUUUUUCCCAAGUUCAAUUUGUGCAGGUGCCUGCUUUUCACUGUUGUAGCAGAAAUGCUAAGUCAUGGCCUGAACCAGUGAUUGAGCACCUGGUGGGAAGGCAGGGCCAACCCAGGGGAGCUCAGCUGCAUGUGGAGCACCUGAGUGAUUGGAAGGCAUGGAGCCAGGAUCCACCCCUUCCCAGACUUCAUUUAAGGGUUAGCAGUGGAGGUGAGGAUAUCUUGUUGGAGGUUACUGCUUACUGAAGGUCUUCAUAAGUGUAUGCUGGUGGAGCAAUACCAAGUUAUCUCUCAAACUUCCAAAGCUGGCUGGAGCUGGAUGUGAGGUUUUUACAAGGUAACCACCAAAAGCAGUAAAGUGAAAGCUACAGAACUGGCAGACAUCGGUAUCUAAUAGCUGGUGUCCUUCCUCCUUUCCUGCUGUUACAUAUGCUCUGUGAAAUGGUGUCAAUGAACAGAAGACAACCAAGCCUGCUUUUUCUUUUCCCAACUCAUCAUACAGUGUACCUUGUCUCACCUCCCAGCAAACUGGAUCAUAAAUUAUUUAAGGUUUCCUCAUCUUCAGAAUGCUGAGAUGAACGCACUGAAAUAUUCAGAGACUGGAACCUAAAAGAUUAUAGUGAUGAUUCAAUAAUUCUUGCUAACAACAGAAAUAAAAAUCUUGCCUUUUUCCUAGUAUUUUAAAUAUGGAGAAUUCAUUUUUCUCUUUCAAUUUUUCACACUAUAUCAACAAACUGUUCAAGACACAUCAGUGUUAAAUGAAAGGGCGUAAACGUACAGCUGAAAUGCAAAUGUAUGUCAUCAGUCCGUUUAUAUCUUCCUUGGAAAAUGCUUCACCCUCUCUUUAUUUUUUACUCUGUUCUCUGCAAUUGGGAAAACAACAUUGCUUUAUGUGUGCACUGGCAAUUAAGUCUGGUAUUUUUUAAUUUUUUUUUUCCUUAUUACUAGUUCUUUUCUUGGUGCUCACAGGAGAACUUUGCAAAGCUGAAUACACAAAGUUCCUUUUCAACACUAGUAUUGAUUUUCUUUUGUCUUUUAACAGACAGCAACCUGUACCCAACAUGAAAAAAAAAAUAACAAGCAGAUAGCACUCAAGCAGCAAAAUCAACAUUCUUAUUCUUCAGUUAAUGACUAAUGUGAGCAAGAUGAGGUCCAGCAGCACUCCAACAGAACAGAAGAGAGUCCUUUAUUCCCAAAGCAUCAAUGAUAUGGUCAAUAGUUAAAUCCAAUAAGUGAUAUUUUUUCCCUCUUCUUGAACCUAAAAAUUAAGAAAUGAGAGCUCUACAGCUCUUUUUCUUACCUGUAUAUGAAUUACUUGACUGACAUUGCCUUUCAAAAAGAGCUGCAAAUAUGUUAAGCCAGGAGGGUAAAGAAAAUGAAUCCUACUCAUUAAUUAGCAUUACUACAUAGUGCAAGUAUGCACAAUGUGGAUUUGAAGAUGGAUCUCCACCUUUUACGUAUAACCUGGCAGGCGUACAAGUGACAAUGUAUCGUAGCAUUUUGUGUAAACCCUUGUGAAAGUUCUGUCCUUGGUGAGAUACAGAUCUAGGAGAACCAACAUACAGAUGGACAGGCGAUCAAGAAAAAAACAAACAGGAAAUAGCAGGCUGAAGAGAAGAUACACACAUGCAAAGAAAUAGUGCUUAAAUUCUUCUAAGGUCUGAUAAGAGGAGACUGAUGGUCCAGCUGAACCUGCAAAAAGUGAUAGAACUCCAAAUUGUACUGAAUUUUUUCAAAGCAACUGGUACAUAGUAGCAUCAACAAUAGGUUGUAUCACAUGGAUCAUACCCAGGAGGGUAGAGGCUGCAGUAUUCUGACAGACCCUGGUGUAAUACAUGCACCCUAAUGGGUCUCCCAGACCUACCUCUAGGCCACUCUUUCAGUUGGCCUCCAGCUGUUACUCCGUCCACAUAACUGUGAGUAACCCUAUGAGAGCAUGUGUGUGUCUGAACUGUAAAUGGAUGUAUGGUGUGAAUUAUUAAUUAUUAUAAAGCUGUGGCUAAUAAUGAAAGCUUGAGUCUAUUCAUAAUAUAAAUAUAUGUGAACCUAAGUAGUAAAAGGUGUUUUAAUAAAUAUUGGUCAUGAUCUGUCUCCCCAGCUUGAUUGCCUACCAGAGAAAAUGGUAUUUAUAAUAAUGAAAUUUCCUUUCUACUUGGAAAAGACAGGAGAUGAACCAUUGAAUUCAGCAUGCUAGGUAGCUGCAGAGAGGACCCUCCCCCCUUCAUCUAAAUGUUGAGCAGUAGCUUUAUUUCCUGAAUGUACCCAUCCAUUAUCUUCUACUGACAAUAAACACCUUACAAUUUCUUUUUAGUAAGAUCUUUAUGAGCCUUCAGUUCAUGUUAAGUUUAAAAGGGUCGUAUUCCUUUGUUUUGACAGUGCAAAGGAUUCUGGUUUACUUUUAGCUGUUUUUGAAGCUUAAUUGGAGCCAGAAGGCUGGAUCAUCAGUAGACAUAAUGUAUUAUCAUUAACUUCAUGAGGCAAUUUCUCAUGUACAAUUUUGCUAGUGCAGACAUUCUAGCUUUUAGUUUAAUUGAAUUUGUUGAUAAAUCUGUCAUGACAUGCUUUCUAUAUAUGAUCCUUCUACAAAAAUACUUUUACAGAAUAAAAUUCAGUUCAUGAAUGGGAUUGGAGAAAAAGCUCAUAUACAGUUUAAUCAUAUUUAACUGGUUUCUAAUAAGCAGUAGAAAUUACUUACAUUGGUCCUCUCUUCAUUUAUAAUUUUCUCAUUAACAUUUGAAAAAUAAGUAGUGAGAAACAAACCCUAUGCUGAGAUCACACAUUUCAGCAAAUGUUUUCUUUAAAUAUUACCAAAUUUGUCAUCACUGAAAAUGGAAUAAUUUUCAUUUCACCCAUGAGGGCAGUAAACAAAUGUACUAUUGCCUGCGGUGUCUUUGUAUUAGUAUUUCAGUUUCUGUACUUGUCCCCAAGGCCAAGGAGCAGGACUUUAUGUUGCCAACGUGCUGUGUUUCAUCAGGUUGUGUCUUAGUAUAUACAUGUUACUUUAGAUCUAAGUAGACGUGACAGAAGGUAACAGACUAUACUGUGGUGCUGCAGUGUCAGCCUGCGCACCAGAAAGAUUAGAAAAUACAGUGCUGUAAGCACGUUGACUGGAAAGGAGAGAGCAAACAUAGCCAACAUCGAGUUUUUUUGACAUGAAGUCAAAUAAUUGGAGCGCACAUGCUCCUUCAUUGAAAAAAAAAAAAAAAAACCACCACCUUGUUACUGCUGUGAGAAUAACAGUUUGCUUUUCGUUUUGGUUUGGCAGCAAGUGAUCAUCACCCUCAAUUGAACUGAAGGAGACAGCAAGGCAGACUCACAUACAUUGUAGGUACAGGGAAAAGGAAGCAGUGACUAUGCACUACUGGAUUUAACACAUUUUAUUACUGUAUGCUGUACUUAAAAAAAAAAAAAUCCUCUGAAUUUGUGCUUUUGCUGUUGUUUUCCUGCUAAGGAUGAAUGUUUGUUUGUAUAUGAGAAGCCUACUGCCUUCAGUUGGCUUAUUUUUAACAACCUUGCUUAUUACAAUGCUACAUUUUGAAUCUCUUUGACCACAAUGCAAGAUGUUCUACUUAAAGGUUUCUUGAUGUUAUUGUACUGAGAGAAUUUACUUCAGUAGCCCUAAAAGCCAUUCCAGGAAUAAGACUUGAUCCUACACUCAAUUACCUGUCCACAUUCCAUCAAACAUCUGAAAAGAGGUUAAACAAAAUGGAAGGACAACCAGUCCUUAGAUUAGACAGUAAAUGUUCUCUGGGAAUUGACUUUCUUCUUUCCCCUUAAUGCAGCAAAAAAUGCAGCAAGCAUCUUGGCAACAUCAAAACUAGCCUCGCUUUGGUGACUGCCAUACUGUUUUACAAACUCAAUUAUCAAUCAUUUUAAUUUCACUGCAAUUUAUAUUAAAAAAAAAAAAAUGCAGAGGAGGACUCGUACUACAGAGGAAGAUGCAAGACCAGCGUAGUCAUGCACAACAGCACAGUCCUUAAAAGUUAUUAAAACCAUUCAGUGGGAGAAGGGAAAUAAAAUCAGGUCAUCUUAAUUCAAAGUGCUAUUUUAUUUUCAUUGUCACUUGGCUUUUGAGAUUCAACAGCCCUAUCCAACCAUCAUAAUCUCUCUCUCAUUUGACAAUUACAUGAUUUUUCUAAAUAAACACUUACCUUUGGGAAUUUU
rnacentral:lncRNA from 1 species